UACGGAGACUGCAAGCGUUACUCGGAUUCACUGGGUUUAAAGGGUGCGUAGGUGGUUUAAUAAGUUAGUGGUAAAACGGAGAGGCUCAACCUCUUCUCGCCAUUAAAACUGUAAGACUAGAGAUUGGAUGCUGUAGGCGGAAUGUGUAGUGUAGCGGUGAAAUGCUUAGAUAUUACACAGAACACCGAUUGCGAAGGCAGCUUACAAAUCCAUAUCUGACACUGAUGCACGAAAGCGUGGGUAGCGAACGGG
rnacentral:rRNA from 1 species